rnacentral:rRNA from 1 species
UAAUGUCUGGGAAACUGCCUGAUGGAGGGGGGUAACUACUGGAAACGGUAGCUAAUACCGCAUAACGUCGCAAGACCAAAGUGGGGGGACCUUCGGGGCCUCAUGCCAUCAGAUGUGCCCAGAUGGGAUUAGCUAGUAGGUGGGGUAAUGGCUCACCUAGGCGACGAUCCCUAGCUGGUCUGAGAGGAUGACCAGCCACACUGGAACUGAGACACGGUCCAG